AUGCUCGCCUUGGGCAUCAUCCGGAUCUCUACGCCGUUUUCGGCGCCGGUCCUCCUCGUCCGCAAGUUGGACGGCACGGGGCGCUUCUGCAUCGACUGCCGUGCCCUUAACGCCCAGACGCUCAAGGACAAUUUUCCUAUUCCGGUCGUCGGCGAGCUCCUGGACGAGCUACAUGGGGCGCGCUUCUUCACCAAGCUUGACCUCUGUUCGGGCUACCACCAGGUGCGAAUGCACCCGGACGAUGUCGCGAAGACGGCGUUUCAGACUCAUCACGGCCACUUCGAGUUAUUGGUGAUGCCUUUUGGCCUCUCCAACGCCCCGGCGACCUUUCAGGCCUUGAUGAACGACGUCCUCCGCCCCUACUUGCGUCGGUUUGUGCUUGUUUUUUAUGAUGACAUUCUUAUCUACAGCGCCUCGUGGGCGGAGCACCUUCAGCACGUCGCCAUCGUCUUCAACGAGCUUCGAGCGCACCAUCUUCAUCUUAAGCGCUCGAAGUGCUCGUUCGGCACGCCUUCAGUCGCCUACCUCGGCCACGUCAUCUCGGCCGAGGGUGUUGCUAUGGACGCCGACAAGGUGGCGGCUGUCGUGGCAUGGCCGACGCCGCACUCACCGCGGGCUCUUCGCGGCUUCCUGGGCCUCGCAGGGUACUAUCGGAAAUUUAUUCGGGAGUUCGGCCUCAUCGCGUUCCCGCUCACGCGCCUGUUGCGACGUGACGCCUUCGCCUGGGAUGCGGAGGCCACUGAGGCGUUUGAGGCCCUCAAGCGGGCCCUCACGACGGGUCCUGUCCUCCAGAUGCCCGACUUCGACCGUCCGUUCAUGGUGGACUGCGACGCCUUCGGUGUGGGGUUCGGCACCGUUCUUCAUCAGGGCGACGGGCCGCUUGCGUUCUUCAGCAGGCCCUUCGCCGCACGCCAUCAUAAGCUCGUGGCCUAUGAGCGGGAGCUCAUUGGCUUGGUGUAG
rnacentral:rRNA from 1 species